rnacentral:rRNA from 1 species
GACGAACGCUGGCGGCGUGCUUAACACAUGCAAGUCGAACGAAGUGGCGAACGGGUGAGUAACGCGUAAUCAACCUGCCCUUCAGAGGGGGACAACAGUUGGAAACGACUGCUAAUACCGCAUACUGAAGGAGUGGGUUGCGUCUGAUUAGCUAGUUGGAGGGGUAACGGGCGACAAGGGCGAUGAUCAGUCGCCGGUCUGAGAGGAUGAACGGCCACAUUGGGACUGAGACAGGGACCAGACUCCUACGGGAGGCAGCAGUGGGGAUUCUUCCGCAAUGGACGAAAGUCUGACGGGGCAACGCCGCGUGAGUGAUGACGGCCUUCGGGUUGUAAAGCUCUGUUAAUCGGGACGCGGUACCGGAAUAGAAAGCCACGGCUAACUACGUGCCAGCAGCCGCGGUAAUUC